GAGCAUCAGAGUGCUGCUCUGGGAUUUCUGAAAUCAGAAAAAUCAGUGAAGGCCAACAGCAUCAAAAAAUAGUAUUUUCAUCCACAUUUUGAGUUUUCUUUUUCAUGAGGUCAUUGAGUAUCCAUCUGAGCAACCCUCACAAUGGCAGCAGUUUGAAGGAAAACCAAGCUAAUUUUACCAUGAGAUUUUCCAGCAGAAGAGACAAAUGGGGGGGAUAUGUGUAUACCAUGCUGUGUGGGAUUGAAAAUUAUCUAAUAAUCAUAAGCUGAUAUCAAAACAGUUGCAACAAAGGAUGCUAUCACUGGGGAAAACAUUCUGUUUCACAAGAUGUAGGGAAUGAUUGCGUAAAGGUGUCUCCCAAUUUCUGUUCUCUAUGACAGCAUAUAAAAGUGCUCGUAACUUCGCUGUCUUUAGCUGCCUCUGCUGACUUAUUCCUCUUGGUGACUGGGUUGACUUGCCUUCUGGAAAGAUGUCCUAUGGACAGAUGAUAAGCUUCCGUUGCGCUCAACCGUGCGAGGUGUCGUGUCCACAACCAUAUACCGACUCUCGGAACGAGCCAUGUGUUGCCACGUGUGGAGAUUCAAGAGCAAUUGUGUAUGCACCACCCGUUGUUGUGACUUUUCCAGGACCCAUUAUCAGCUCGUGUCCUCAGGAAAGCAUCGUGGGAACUGCCAUACCUGAAAUUGAGGGUGGAGGCAUGGGCUCCGGAGGUGGAGGCAUGGGCUCCGGAGGUGGAGGCAUAGGUUCAGGUGGCUCCUAUGGUGGAGGAAGUUCUUAUGGUGGAGGCAGCUCCUAUGGUGGAGGUGGAUCCUGUGGGAUAGGCUCUCAUAGCUCGGGGGGCUCUUAUGGUGGAGUGGGAGGUGGUUCAUAUGGUGGGGAGGGCUCAUGUGGUGGUGGAUUCUCUCGUCUGGGAGGAUAUUACCGAAGCUCAUUUUAUUCAGGAUUUGGUAGAAAUUAUUUCCCAUUUUAUUCUAGGUACUAUAGGUACCGCUAUGGAAACUGUGGGCCAUUUUAAGUCUUUAAGACAGAGUCAUGACUAAAGAAAUGAUAAGAUACAAACCAAUGGUUGACAUAUAGGGCUGGAAAUCAGAUGUGUCAAGCAGCCUCUGCUCCAGCUGAAGUCAGUAGGAGCUGGGGUUGCUUGGCAUCUCUUUGCGCUAUGUUUUGUCUAAGGCUUAAAAUCCCAAUGUUGCCUCACUUUGUCAUUUGCUCAUGUUAUGUUUUGAUCUUUCUCAACCUGAAGAGGGUAAAACAAUUAAUGGGACUUGACCGUGGAUGCUUCUGGCUGAAAGAACACCUUGUGAACCCUGUGUUCUUCUGAACACCAGAUCGAUUGUAGUACUUGUUGAAAUGGAAAUUACAUUCUUUGUCUCUGUAUUGCCUCAUUCUACAAGAAUGUAUUCCACAUCUUGUUUGUAUUAAAACCCUGUUGCAUCAUA